AUUGAACGCUGGCGGCAGGCCUAACACAUGCAAGUCGAGCGGAUGAAGGGAGCUUGCUCCUGGAUUCAGCGUCGGACGGGUGAGUAAUGCCUAGGAAUCUGCCUGGUAGUGGGGGAUAACGUCCGGAAACGGGCGCUAAUACCGCAUACGUCCUGAGGGAGAAAGUGGGGGAUCUUCGGACCUCACGCUAUGAGAUGAGCCUAGGUCGGAUUAGCUAGUUGGUGGGGUAAAGGCCUACCAAGGCGACGAUCCGUAACUGGUCUGAGAGGAUGAUCAGUCACACUGGAACUGAGACACGGUCCAGACUCCUACGGGAGGCAGCCGUGGGGAAUAUUGGACAAUGGGCGAAAGCCUGAUCCAGCCAUGCCGCGUGUUUGAAGAAGGUCUUCGGAUUGUAAAGCACUUUAAGUUGGGAGGAAGGGCAGUAAGUUAAUACCUUGCUGUUUUGACGUUACCCACAGAAUAAGCACCGGCUAACUUCGUG
rnacentral:rRNA from 1 species